CAAACCCUCCCCCAAUCACCAAAGCCGCCGCACGCCUCCCUCCUUCCUCCUCGCCCGCACCCCUGCCGCGGCGCCCAUCCCUCCCAGCCCUCCCAUCUUCGCGUUUCUCCUCCUCCCAGAACUACCUCCCGUCGCUUAGGCUCCAUGGCGGCGGCCGGCUCGAGGCGAGCCUGGCGCAGGCGGGCGGAAGCAGCGGGGAGCAACGGAUGCGGGUGGGAGAGUGCCGGACGGCGCCGUCAUUGUUCAUUGUCGCCCCGCUAAGCCGCAUCGAAGAAGGACCAGGACCUCACCCCUCAACCCUCGUCCCUCUUCCCUUCUGGAUGCACCUCCCCGCAUGAGUUCCUCCUGCCUAAUUCGGCUCCCCUUUCCAUCUAAUUUCAUUCUUGUUUCACAUGUUGGUUUGGUCGGUAAGAGACGUUGCGCCGCCGACUGCAGUAGCCAGGAUUGGUGUUGGUGAUGUCUGUACGUACCAGUUACACAAUUCCAGGUUAUGGGAUUGGAUCUCCAUUUUCCAAGAUUCUUAGCUGAUAAGUAUAUUGUGCGGCAAAAUCUCUAGGCCAGCGCUAGGCGCCGGUGCGCCGGCCCAAAUUUGGGCCGGUCGCGCCCUAGCCAUCCGAUCCAAUUCAUCUAGGCCAUCAGUUCCUUAUCCAAAAAGCUGCUUCAUCCCUUCCCCCCUCGUGUGUCUCUCCUCUGUGUUGUCUUCCUCACCUCGCCACGCAGCUCCACCCCGUUCCCAGACAGCCGUUGCCUCCGCCCCCGCCGGCUUGCCUCGCCGUCGACACGCGCCGCCGUCACCGGUCGCCUUUUUUACCCGCUCUGCUGCACGCCGGCAGCACCUCCCCUACACUUCUCCCUCGCCCUUUGUGGUCAUGGGUUGCCGUCGUUGGCCGCGGCAGCUCUGCUCGCCGGCAAUAGUACGACGCUUCCUCGUCCCUCGCUGGUUCCAGCAAAACAAGUAAGUGGUUGGAACAUUGUGCCCCUACCGGUGCCGCCCCAGCAUGGAUGGAACGAUGGAGACGACGAAGUAACUCGCAAAAAUCACAAUAUGUGGUUCCAGCAAAAAAUUGUGCUGGUUGUAGCAUCUCAUGUCGCUGGUUGAAGCUCGCCGUGCACCAUUAGUAGCCUCGAUCUUCUCUGGUUCCAGCAAAAAUGGACUAUGUUUGUAACAAAUGGUGUUGCCGAUUGCAGCUCCGCAUCACGGUGGUCGUAGCAUUUCGCCGCAUGUAGCAGCUCCGCCGUUGCCUGACGCAACCCCGUCGCUUUCUCUGGUUCCAGCAAAAAUGGUCAACGGUUGUAACAAAUGUUGUUGCAGGUUGCAGCUCCGCAGUACGUCGGUCGUACGUCGUCGCCUGACACAACCCCGCCGCUUUCUCUGGUUCCAGCAAACAAAGUCGCCGGAUGUAGCUUUUUGAGCUGCUGGUUGCAGCUCGAUUGCACGCAGUAGCAGCUUCCCAGCAUCUCUGAUGGUGGUUCGAGCAAAAAAUAAAUUGGUUGUAGCAUCUGUGGGGCUGGUCCCAGCAUGCGUCCCCUACGGUCCGCAAACAUUGGUUGGCUUUCGUCUACGGCGACACCUCGGACGCCUGGUUGCAACAUAGAGGGCCACCCAUCUCUUGUCCCAUGGCUGGAGAGGGGAAAAAGCCGAGGAGGAAGUGUGGGGGUGGCCGCCAGUUCGCUGGAGUAGGACAAAUAGAUGACGGCCUCGGUUUCACGCCCGGUGGUGCAGGGCGGUGGCCGGAGACCGAUGCUCUCACAACAACUUCCGCUCGCGGGAUGGAGGGGAUGGGUUAUGGUCGUGAGCGGGAGAUGCAGUUUGCAUCGCGACGGGAUCUGAAGAAAAGAGACGAGUGGAAGACAACACACAAGGGCUGUAGGAUUGCCUUCGAUCCAACGAAGCGCGCGCGUCCGGCGCAACGCUUCGACCGGCGCACCGGCAGCAAACGUUUCCCAAAUCUCUAUGUACUGAUGUUGUGCACAUCCAAAUACAAGCAAUCGGCGAAGAUUUCAUCCUCAACCUCCCUCACGACCCCAGAUUGGGGACAUGGCGUGAAGAUAUGGUUUUGUGAUCUAUGGUCUUGGGUCAUCCGUUGGAUGGGUGAUAAUGGAAAUUUUCUUGAGGACAGACACGUGCAAGUUUUGUGAGAGUUAAACCUGUUUUAUGAGAGUUAAACCUGUUUUAUGAGAGUUAAAGCUAUUUUUUGAGAGUUAAACAUGUGCAUACGAAUGGAUUUUUUUUAGAACUGGUCAAACUAUUUUUUUGUAAGAGUUAAAGCUGUUUUCUUGAGGACAAACCCGUGAAUAAGUCUCAUCUGUAUAGAUUAAUUAAUAUAAUAGGACAACAAUUUAAGUUUAUUGAAGCUCUUUCUAAGAAGCGGGGGUCUGCUUUGGUUUCUUGUUGUUUGCCUAUUCUCUUAAAAACAGUUGACUGGAUGCAGCUGACGGGUUAUACAUCAAUAAUUUGGGCAGUUGGAUAUGGCAUUUACAAGUAAAGGAUUUCAGAAAUCUAAUAUGGCAUGCCUAUUUUUCAUGGAAAAACGAAUGGUACCUUAUUUACUAUUUAGUUUUUAAGCUAGACUAAUUUGACUACACGCUUCCUGAGGUGCCUUCUGUUUUUGAAUAGUCAUAGAAUUCUCCUGAUUACGAGAUGUUCCUUUGUCACUAUUUGAAUUUCUGCCUUGAGUGGCCUCUGUCUUGGUUUACAGCUCCAUAUGGCUACUUAUGUAUAACAUAUGGAGGUCCUGUUUGAACUGUUCUCAAAUAUGUUUACUACAGCAAAGUGGAAUAUGCAAAGUUUCUGUGUUGAUUAGGCAAAUACUUGCUUUGCCUUAAAUACUGUCCCCAUCUAUGUUCCAGGUUUUUUGGGUAUGAAUUAUUUCCCUGGAAUGGAUCAACACAUUUGCAUGGGAUUUUAGAAAAAUAUAUGUGAAUGCAUCUUUCUAAUAAAAGCAUUGCUUAAGAAAUACCCUUUUCUGAAAUCAAAAUUGUUGUUGGUCUUCUGAUCACUUUCAUUGUCUAUCAGAUAGGCUAUGGCUUCCAUAAGCUAGCAUCAUUAGGGUCAGGUCGUUGUGUUUAGUUUAUUUUCAGUGCCUUGCAAGUUAGUGGUUCCCAGAAGAUUGUAGCCUACCUUAUUAGCGUCGACUGGCAUAUUUAUCUUUCAAUGUCAUUGCUUAACCAUGCCUGGCUGACUGCUAUAUUUAUAUAUGCACAAAGUGCUUAUUCCUUUGGUGCUUCCAGAUUGUCAAGGUAUGAGCAGAGCAGCGAGGGAUGAGAAAUGGGGUAACUUAUCGUAGACAUACAGAAACGAAAAUAAAGCUAUGCACAGAGAAAAGGUGUAGAAUUGAUUGCUGGGCAUGAAUUCCGGCAUGGACCACUUUGCUUUGCUUUUGUCACAUUAAAAUUAAUCAUAUAUAGUAAUUUUUUUGUCCACAGUACUAUGAUCCAUCCAUCAUUGUUGGUUCACCAUUCUAAAGGAAAUAGACAAAGGUAAAAUCUUAGUGUACUUGAAUAUAUAGAUUUGUCUGAUUGUGUUGUAAUCUUAGUUUCCUUUUAUCUUUCUAUAUAUGAACCUGCUAUUAUGUGUCAUUGUGUUGUGGUCUUGACCAUCUGCAGCAAGGGUUAGGCAAAUAUUUAUCCUGUAAAAUGAGUUGCCGGUUCUUACCACGUGGUUGCUAUUUUAUUUUGCAAUUUUUAUGCAUCACAUGAUUACUUUUUUAAAAAGUGAUCUUAAUUCAUGGUCCUUAGUUUACUGAUCGUUCGGCGGCUCUGUGUACCAAUAUAGUGGUGCAUCUAGGAGGAAGGGAUCUAGAGACGACGAUGGACAAAACAAUCCUGCAGAGGCAGCAAGAGGCAGUUCUCGACAAAUCACUAUAAGCGCAAGGAUCCAAUGGAAGAAUUUGGUGAAGAACAAGGUCUCCAUCAUUUGGCGUCAAGGAAAGGAAGACCAUGUCAUCAUUUGGCCAGUGCAGGUCCCCAUGCCCCUGUAUCUGCCCUCGAAGCCGGGUUCCGCGAGCUAAGGUUGCAGGGGAGAAUGAACGUGCAAGUUUCCAGCAGCAAAGUUUUUUCUACAUUUGAUGGGUAGCUAAAUUAGUUUGAUUUCACGGAUGAUGGAGCCUUGCUGUGUGACGUAGUUCCUGGUGAAGAAAUAUUUGUUAGGUCUAUGUAUGUGUGUACUGGAGUUGGUGCAUCUCCAAGGAAGAACCAAACCCUUAUUCCUAUCUUACAAUAUUUUACACUUAAAUGCAAAUGCAAAGUGUUAGCUAUGUUAACUGUUGUUUCAA